AUUAGUAAAACAUUUCUCAUUUAUCAAGGUUACCCUUUUAAGUGUAUAAAUGUAUAUUUUCAUCCUUAUCUAUAAGGAUUACUAUUUUAAAUCUCCAUACAGAACUAAAUAACAUUUACUUAUUCACAACUUUAAAUUAUUUUAUUACAAAUACAUACUUCUUUAUUCACAGCUUUGUAACUUAUUUUUCCUUUAUAAUCAUUCAUCAUUGAAUCAAAGAUAAUCUUUUAUCUUGUAACAUUUUUUUUAGCAGAGGCCCAGUAGACGAAACAGAACACUUAGGAAAUAUGGGACUGAUAUAACAUCUGAUGGCACCGUCCCUUCUGCGGGAAUAGGUGCAUUACUCUCUACUUCAUCUGUACUAGCUCGUUCAGGAUCCAUAACUAUAAAAGAAAACAUUUUAAAAUCGUCAGGAGUCGUCACACUAUCAAAAUAUAUAUAAGUAUGGCAUGUAUAGGUAGACUCUUAUUCUUACUGAGUAUUUCCGAGAACCGACUAAACCUGCUCUAAUACCAAUAAAAUGUAACACCCCUUACCCGAGACCGUUUCCGGAGUCGAGCACGAGGCAUUACUUAGCUUAUCUUACCAAUUCGGAGCAUAAAAACUAGGUUUGAAAAUUUAUUUCUUUAUUCGCAGCAAAUCUGUCUAAUCGCGCAGCAGUUACUAAAUUAAUUAUAACUUGAGCUACAGAACUCGAAAUUUAAUCCCGUAAAUUUUCCCUGAAACUAGACUCAUAUAUCUACUCACCAUAAAAUUUUUAGAAUUUUUGGUUCAGAAAAUUAGUACAGUUUAUUAGUUAAAGUAUCCCCUGUGUCACCACCAGACUGCCCUGACCUCUAGUCACUAAAAAUAAGUUUUCUCACUAUAGGAUUUUCAUAUGAAGUUCUUACUUAUUUCUAUAGAAAAUAGACUCAUUAAGGAAUCUAAGCAUGUAAAUUUCAACUCAUAACCAUUUUUUUACAAUUUUUAAUUAUUUUCUAAACUCAGAACAGGGGACUCCAAAAACAGUUCUGACCCUAUCUUACUAAAAUUCACAUAUCUUAAAAUAUAAAUUUCUUUUUUUUCUACACCGUUAUUUUUCCAUGAAAAUAGACUCAACAAGCUUUAAUUCCAUAUAUCAUUCACCCUCUAAUUCAUUUUAUACUAUCUUGGGUGAUUUUUCAAAUUCACGUCACUGUGCUGCCUGAAUUCUGUUUCUUUGCAAAAUUUUAUCCUUUCAUGAUUUCCAUGCAUAAUUUAUCACCUAAUCUUUCAUAACAACAAACACCUUCAUCCUUAAUCAUUUUAAUAACCAUACAUCAUCAAAUACUUACACAUCACUCAUUAGCAAAAUCAUCACUACAAACAUACAAAAUAACUAAAUCCCUAUACAUGCCAUAACUUAAACGUGUUUCGAUAUAAAAUACCGAGCAGUUGUAGUUGAUAGUGUGGACGAUCUCCGACUUCUUUAGGAUCCUUGAAGUAGCUUUGCAAUACUAUAAGAGAAAGAGAAAUAAAAGAAGUAAGCAUAAAGCUUAGUAAGUUUACUAGCAAAUAAAUAACAAUAUUUAACUUAAAUAAUUAAACUCAAUGUCUAUAUCUCUAGUUUACUCUUUAGUUAAUCUCAUACUAGUUCUCUUACUUGUUUACUUAGAAUAUUUGUGUGCAUAACUUACUCAAUCCUUGCUGCAUCGUUGAACAUCAAUUGAUAGUAUAAUAAGUUCUUAAGUCUUACAACUUACCUGAGCUUACCAUUUAUGCUUUAAACUGAACUUUCAUGAACAUGAUUCGUUUACAAGCCCGUUGAACUACAUUGGAAUAAUAAGGAUACUCGGGUCUCUUCUGAUAAUAACAUGCCAAAGCCAUGUCCCAGACAUGGUCUUACAUGGGAUGUUCUCGUGAUGGUGCCCAUGCCAUGUCCCAGACAUGGUCUUAUAGGAGACCUCUCAUCUCGGUGCCAACGCCAUGUCCCAGACAUGGUCUUACAUGGGACCUCUCGUCUCGGUGCCCAUGCCAUGUCCCAGACAUGGUCUUACAGGGGACCUCUCAUGAUCUUAAGGAUGCCAAUGCCAUGUCCCAGACAUGGUCUUACAUGGGAUAUCUUUACCCAAAUGUCAUGACAUUCGUAUCCAGUACCAUCCUUAUGUAUCAACGGGACUUUUAAAUUUUAAUUCUCUAUCAUUUCAUGCUUGGAUCAUCAUCAAAUAAAUUCAUAAAAUAAAUUCAUAAUUGCUGAAAAUUAACAGCAUUAAUAAUAAAUAUUGAAAUAUUGCAUUUAUUUACCGUAAACUUACCUCGGUACCAAUUAUAGCCAAAUUCACCAACUUAGUCUUCAACUUUAUUCUUCCCUUUGUCUAACCUCGAGUUUCGUACUUCUUGAUCUAAAAUAGUAAAUUUAACUUAUUUAAUAGUCACAUUCAUCAAAAUAGCCCUCGACUCUAACUUUUUCAAAAUUACAAUUUUGCCCCUAAACUUUUACAUAAUUGCAUUUUUGCCCCAAGGCUCGGAAAUUAAACUUCAUCUCUUAUUCUUAUGUUUUAUAACAUUCUGAACAUUUUUCCCUUCUAUGGCAACAUCAAAUUCUAAUUUAAUCCCUUAUCAAUACUAAUUUUAUUUUUGCAUUCUAACUCUAUAUUCUCUCUUAAUUCUUACUAUAAACUCAGUUUAAUUCUUCAAUUUCCCCAUAAAUCCCUAAUUUCGGGAUUCUUUCAAUUUAAUUCCUAUCAAUUCAAAACUUAUGUUUUAUUUUACAAAUCAAUCCUUUAUUCAAUUCCAAUCAAAAUUUCUAUCAAAUACAUCCCUAAUUUAACAAUUUAUUCAACAUGAACCAUGCUUAAUAAUCUACUAACUUCCAAAAUUUCAACUUAAAUCAAGUAGUAUUUUGUUCUAGGAUUUCAAAAAAAAUAUCAAAAUUAAGAGAAAAGGGGAUUAAAUUGACUUACCAAAUUACUUUGAACCUUAAAACCCCAAAAUUCCCUUUUUCUUUUCUUUUCUUUCUUUCUUUCCUUCCUUCCUUCUCUGUUUCGUUUUGCUCUCUGUUUCUUUCUUUCUCCCUUCUCUGUUUUGUUUUGUUUUGCUCUCUGUUUCUUUUCUUUCUUUCUUUGUCAUAUAUUAAUAAUAAUAUAAUAUAAAAACAUAAUUAUUACUUACGCAUGUAUAAUAUAUAUAUUUUAAAUUAAAAAUAUCUUAGAUUUUUCUUUUGUUAUGCCGCCUCAACUUUAGAAAAAGGCAUAAUUGCCUAUUUG
rnacentral:lncRNA from 1 species